GGACAGUUUCUUUGUAAAUCCGCAAUUCUCUCUCUCCCGAUAACGUAGAAAGGGGAGGGAUCUGCAAAUCCGCAAUUCUCUCUCUCCCGAUAACGCCACAACACAGUUUCUUUGUAUUUCACAGUACAAUCAAGUGUAACAAUAGAAAAUUAAGCUGUGCCAAUUUCCUUACACUUAUGUUAGCUCAACAACUAAAAUUCUUGGCUAUCUGUUGAGAAGCUAGCUUCCACUGUGCUUUGGAAACUCUCCACUCCAUGCAGCUAUACUGAAACGGAAUCCUGAUUGUCUUAUGUAGGUGUUCAUUCAAUUAUUUCUUUGAUUCUUGCUUUCAUUUUGGACCGUGCUGCUCAUCAUCACAGG